CACGAAGUUAGCCGGGGCUUCUUCUACGGUUACCGUCAUUAUCUUCACCGUUGAAAGAGCUUUACAACCCUAAGGCCUUCAUCACUCACGCGGCAUGGCUGGAUCAGGCUUGCGCCCAUUGUCCAAUAUUCCCCACUGCUGCCUCCCGUAGGAGUUUGGGCCGUGUCUCAGUCCCAAUGUGGCUGAUCAUCCUCUCAGACCAGCUAUGGAUCGUCGCCUUGGUAGGCCUUUACCCCACCAACUAGCUAAUCCAACGCGGGCCGAUCCAUCUCCGAUAAACUCUUUCCCCCCUAAGGGCGUAUGCGGUAUUAGCUCCAGUUUUCCCGGAGUUGUUCCGCAGAGAUGGGUACGUUCCCACGUGUUACCUCACCCGUCUGCCGCUCCCCUUGCGGGGCGCUCGACUUGCAUGUGUUAAGCCUGCCGCCAGCGUGUUCUUGAGCAGGACUCAACUACU
rnacentral:rRNA from 1 species